rnacentral:tRNA from 1 species
GGGCGAUUAGCUCAGUUUGGAUAGAGCACCUGCUCGACACGCAGGGGGUCACUGGUUCGAGCCCAGUAUCGCCCA